CAGUCGCCGCGGGAAAACGGAGGGGGCUAGCGUUGUUCGGAAUUACUGGGCGUAAAGCGCACGUAGGCUGCUUUGUAAGUCAGAGGUGAAAGUCCGGGGCUCAACCCCGGAUGUGCCUUUGAGACUGCAGGGCUAGAACGUCGGAGAGGUGAGUGGAAUUCCGAGUGUAGAGGUGAAAUUCGUAGAUAUUCGGAAGAACACCAGUGGCGAAGGCGGCUCACUGGACGACUGUUGACGCUGAGGUGCGAAAGCGUGGGGAGCAAACAGGAUUAGAUACCCCAGUAGUCCCUGUCUCUUAUCA
rnacentral:rRNA from 1 species